rnacentral:rRNA from 1 species
GGCCUCUCUAAAAUGAUCGAUUGUACAGGUCGACCGUAACAGGAUUAAGCUUGCUUCUUUACUGACGAGUGGCGGACGGGUUAAAAAUGUCUAGAAAACUGCCUGAUGGAGAGGAAUAACCACUGGAAAAGGCAGCUAAUACCCCAGAACGUCGCAAGACCAAAGAGGGGGACCUUCGGGCCUCUUGCCAUCGGAUGCGCCCAGAUGCGAAUAGCUAGUAGGUGGAGCAAAGGCUCACCCAGGAGACGAUACCCAGCUGGUCUGAGAGGAUGACCAGCCACACCGGAACUGAGACACGAUCCAGACUCCUACGGGAGGCAGCAGUGGGGAAUAUUGCACAAUGGACGCAAGCCUGACGCAGCCAAGCCGCGUGUAAGAAGAACGCCUUCGGGUUGUAAAGUACUUUCAGCGGGGAGGAAGGCAGCAAAGUUAAAACCCAAACGAAUUGACGGGACCCGCACAAGAAGCACCGGCGAACCACGUGCCAGCAGCCGCGGUAAUACGGAGGAUGCAAGCGCGAAUCGGAAUUACCGGGCCUAAAGCACACACAGACACUUUGCAAAGACAGAAGUGAAACCCCCGGGCUCAACCUGGGAACUACAGCUGAUACUGGCAAGCGUCAGUCUCGUAGAGGGGGGUAAAAUGCCAGGUGAAGCCCCGAAACGAGCACAAACCUGGAGGAAUACCGGUGGCGAAAGCGGCCCCCUGGACGAAAACUCACGCUCAAGUGCGAAACCGCCAGGAACAAACAGGAGGAAAUACCCUGGUAGUCCACGCCGUAAACGACGUCAACUUGGAGGUUGUGCCCUUGAGGCGUGGCUUCCGGAGCUAACGCGUUAAGUCGACCGCCUGGGGAGUACGGCCGCAAGGUUAAAACUCAAAUGAAUUGACGGGGGCCCGCACAAGCGGCGGAGCACGUGGUUGAAGUCGAUGCAACGCGAAGAACCUCACCUGGUCUUGACAUCCACAG